rnacentral:rRNA from 1 species
GAUGAACGCUGGCGGCGUGCCUAAUACAUGCAAGUCGAGCGAACAGACGAGGAGCUUGCUCCUCUGACGUUAGCGGCGGACGGGUGAGUAACACGUGGAUAACCUACCUAUAAGACUGGGAUAACUUCGGGAAACCGGAGCUAAUACCGGAUAAUAUAUUGAACCGCAUGGUUCAAUAGUGAAAGACGGUUUUGCUGUCACUUAUAGAUGGAUCCGCGCCGCAUUAGCUAGUUGGUAAGGUAACGGCUUACCAAGGCAACGAUGCGUAGCCGACCUGAGAGGGUGAUCGGCCACACUGGAACUGAGACACGGUCCAGACUCCUACGGGAGGCAGCAGUAGGGAAUCUUCCGCAAUGGGCGAAAGCCUGACGGAGCAACGCCGCGUGAGUGAUGAAGGUCUUCGGAUCGUAAAACUCUGUUAUUAGGGAAGAACAAAUGUGUAAGUAACUAUGCACGUCUUGACGGUACCUAAUCAGAGAGCCACGGCUAACUACGU